rnacentral:rRNA from 1 species
AUUGAACGCUGGCGGCAGGCCUAACACAUGCAAGUCGAGCGAGCGGCGGACGGGUGAGUAAUGUCUGGGAAACUUCCUCAUGGAGGGGGAUAACUACUCGAGACGGUAGCUAAUACCGCAUACCAUCAGAUGUGCCCCGAUGGGAUUGGCUAGUAGGUGGGGUAACGGCUCACCUAGGCGACGAUCCCUAGCUGGUCUGAGAGGAUGACCAGCCACACUGGAACUGAGACACGGUCCAGACUCCUACGGGAGGCAGCAGUGGGGAAUAUUGCACAAUGGGCGCAAGCCUGAUGCAGCCAUGCCGCGUGUGUGAAGAAGGCCUUCGGGUUGUAAAGUACUUUCAGCGGGGAGGCGUUACCCGCAGAAGAAGCACCGGCUAACUCCGUGCCAGCAGCCGCGGUAAUUC